AUGACGACCAUGAUGCCGGCCGUGCGUCCGAGCGCCUGUGGUCUGUACAUCGAUGACCUGCCCUUUUCUCAUUUUCUGGUCACCGAAGAGUUCGAUCGAUCAGAAACAUGGAAGGGCGAGAGUAGUCAUGUUCCUGCCCUGUGUGUGUUUUCUUUGCGCGAAAAUACCGGGCCAUACCAACCUGCUUCUUCCCCCCUCUGCGCUAGCUCCAAGAUGCAUGUCUCGUCCUGGUGGAUUAACCGCGACCUCGACCACUUCGAUCCGCCGAUGCUGGGCACCGCUACCAAGAACCACCAAUCAGUCCUUGUUUGUGUCCAUGGUGAAGACGAAGUCGCAGAAUGCAGAUCUUGGCUAACCCACCGACCACGCACACAUGCGUUGGCGCGGCGCUUCGGGCGUGGCCCGACUUGUGCAGCGCGCUGA
rnacentral:rRNA from 1 species